rnacentral:rRNA from 1 species
AGUGAACGCUGGCGGUAGGCCUAACACAUGCAAGUCGAACGGCAGCACAGUAAGAGCUUGCUCUUACGGGUGGCGAGUGGCGGACGGGUGAGGAAUACAUCGGAAUCUACUUUUUCGUGGGGGAUAACGUAGGGAAACUUACGCUAAUACCGCAUACGACCUACGGGUGAAAGCAGGGGAUCUUCGGACCUUGCGCGAUUGAAUGAGCCGAUGUCGGAUUAGCUAGUUGGCGGGGUAAAGGCCCACCAAGGCGACGAUCCGUAGCUGGUCUGAGAGGAUGAUCGGCAACACUGGAACGGAGACACGGCCAAGCCUCCUAGGGGAGGCAGCGGGGGGGAUUAUUGGAAAAGGGGCGCAAGCCUGAUCCAGCCAUACCGGGGGGGUGAAGAAGGCCUUCGGGUUGUAAACCCUUUUUGUGGGAAAAGAAAAGCAGCAGUUUAAUCCCCCGCUGUUCUGACGGUACCCAAAGAAUAAGCCCCGGCUAACUUCGUG